GUCGCUCCGCGAAAACUUAUUUAAAGCGGUCACCAGUAAAAUGCUUGUCUAGUCAACUCUUCAAGUCGUGAAAAUCAUAGUCGAAAAGCAAACUGUUUAAAAACAAAAUGUUGAAAUUGAAAGCCGUCAUUAAAAUAGCUUUGACAUUUGUUGUUGCCGUUAUGUUCUUUAGCGUAAGUGCUUAUGCYAUUAAUCGGAAAGCAUUGCUCACGGAUGGAAAAUGAAGCCGAAGUGAUUGUAARCUAAACUGAUAUUUGUUGAUAGACAACUGCAAUAGACGAAGGUUAUGAGGAACACACAUAUAAUAUCAUAUUUAUAUACCRUACUUACAAAUAUACAUACAUAUGUACAUACUGA